UAACGCGUGGGUAACCUGCCUUAUACAGGGGGAUAACAGUCAGAAAUGGCUGCUAAUACCGCAUAAGCGCACAGAGCUGCAUGGCUCAGUGUGAAAAACUCCGGUGGUAUAAGAUGGACCCGCGUUGGAUUAGCUUGUUGGUGGGUAACGGCCCACCAAGGCGACGAUCCAUAGCCGGCCUGAGAGGGUGAACGGCCACAUUGGGACUGAGACACGGCCCAGACUCCUACGGGAGGCAGCAUG
rnacentral:rRNA from 1 species